CCUGAUCAGCAUGCCGCGUGCAGGAAGAAGGCCUUCGGGUUGUAAACUGCUUUUGUUCGGAACGAAACGGCUCUGGUUAAUACCCGGGGCUAAUGACGGUACCGUAAGAAUAAGCACCGGCUAACUACGUGCCAGCAGCCGCGGUAAUACGUAGGGUGCGAGCGUUAAUCGGAAUUACUGGGCGUAAAGCGUGCGCAGGCGGUGCUGUAAGACAGGCGUGAAAUCCCCGGGCUUAACCUGGGAAUGGCGCUUGUGACUGCAGUGCUGGAGUGCGGCAGAGGGGGAUGGAAUUCCGCGUGUAGCAGUGAAAUGCGUAAAUAUGCGGAGGAACACCGAUGGCGAAGGCAAUCCCCUGGGCCUGCACUGACGCUCAUGCACGAAAGCGUGGGGAGCAAACAGGAUUAAAUACCCUGGUAGUCCACGCCCUAAACGAUGUCAACUGGUUGUUGGGUCUCUUCUGACUCAGUAACGAAGCUAACGCGUGAAGUUGACCGCCUGGGGAGUACGGCCCCAAGGUUGAAACUCAAGAAAUGGGCUGACCGACCCCUAGGUGGUUUUCGGUU
rnacentral:rRNA from 1 species